CUCCAAAUAGCUCUGGGCUCUGUAUUCUGGCAGGGCUGUGUCUAGAAGCUGAUUUGGUGAAGGUUAGCUCUGUAUACCUUCUCCAAAUAGCUCUGGGCUCUGUAUUCUGGCAGGGCUGUGUCUAGAAGCUGAUUUGGUGAAGGUUAGCUCUGUAUACCUUCUCCAAAUAGCUCUGGGCUCUGUAUUCUGGCAGGGCUGUGUUUAAAGACUGAUUUGGUGAAGGUUAGCUCUGUAUACCUUCUCCAAAUAGCUCUGGCCUCUGUUUUCUGGCAGGGCUGUGUUUAAAGAGUGAUUUGGUGAAGGUUAGCUCUGUAUACCUUCUCCAAAUAGCUCUGGGCUCUGUAUUCUGGCAGGGCUGUGUUUAAAGAGUGAUUUGGUGAAGGUUAGCUCUGUAUACCUUCUCCAAAUAGCUCUGGGCUCUGUAUUCUGGCAGGGCUGUGUUUAAAGAGUGAUUUGGUGAAGGUUAGCUCUGUAUACCUUCUCCAAAUAGCUCUGGGCUCUGUAUUCUGGCAGGGCUGUGUCUAGAAGCUGAUUUGGUGAAGGUUAGCUCUGUAUACCUUCUCCAAAUAGCUCUGGGCUCUGUAUUCUGGCAGGGCUGUGUUUAAAGACUGAUUUGGUGAAGGUUAGCUCUGUAUACCUUCUCCAAAUAGCUCUGGGCUCUGUAUUCUGGCAGGGCUGUGUCUAGAAGCUGAUUUGGUGAAGGUUAGCUCUGUAUACCUUCUCCAAAUAGCUCUGGGCUCUGUAUUCUGGCAGGGCUGUGUCUAGAGAUUGAUUUGGUGAAGGUUAGCUCUGUAUACCUUCUCCAAAUAGCUCUGGGCUCUGUAUUCUGGCAGGGCUGUGUCUAGAAGCUGAUUUGGUGAAGGUUAGCACUGCACAACCUCUCCAAAUGACUGUGGACUAUUUCUGAGUGGUCUAGACUUGCCGGCCCACUUACUGUAGCCUCAUUUUAGUCUGUAGUUUGUUGUUUUAGCUUCGUUAUGUUGAUCCACAAUGAAGUUUUAUCAUGUUCUAGUUUAUGUUGAUUCUGAUAUAGUCAUAGUUUGAUAUUUUGUUGCUUCAGUGAAUUAUUUUGCCUCUUUUUCCCUCAACAAGCCAGAAUUUUACUUCCUUUCCCUCCCCUGGGUAAUCACUGUGUUCAGAGCCUCACUGACGCCACUGUUCUCUAAUGGUGCCUCCGUGGUGUAGUGGUUAGCGUGCCUGGUUACAAAUCAUGUGCCCAGGUUCAGCCCAGGCAGUCAGUGUGCACCCCACCAGCUGUUCAUCCUUUCCUUUCCUUUCCUUUCCUUUCCUUUCCUUUCCUUUCCUUUCCUCUCCUUUCCUUUCCUUUCCUCUCCUUUCCUUUCCUUUCCUCUCCUUUCCU